CCCUCGGGUUACUUUAGUGGCAAACGGGUGCGUAACGCGUAAGCAACCUGCCCCAAACCGGGGGAUAGCCUGGCGAAAGCCGGGGUAAACCCGCCUGGUUCCCUUUGGCAGCAUUGCUGGGGGGAUAAACAUUUAUGGGUUUGGGAGGGGCUUGCGUCUGAUUAGGUAGUUGGUGGGGUAGUGGCCCACCAAGCCGAUGAUCAGUAGGGGUUCUGAGAGGAUUGGCCCCCACAUGGGUACUGAGAUACGGACCCAACUCCUACGGGAGGCAGCAGUAGGGAAUAUUGGGCAAUGGGCGCAAGCCUGACCCAGCCAUGCCGCGUGGAGGAUGAAGGCGCUCAGCGUCGUAAACUUCUUUUAUCUACGAAGAACAGUGGUUGUGCGCAAUCAUGUGACGGUAGUAGGUGAAUAAGCACCGGCUAACUCCGUGCCAGCAGCCGCGGUAAUACGGAGGGUGCAAGCGUUGUCCGGAUUUAUUGGGUUUAAAGGGUGCGUAGGUGGGGGGCUAAGUCUGGUUUGAAAGCAGGUGGCUCAACCAUCUGAUGUGGCUGGAAACUGGUUUUCUUGAAUGGGUUGGCGGUAGCCGGAACGGGUCAUGUAGCGGUGAAAUGCAUAGAUAUGACCCAGAACACCGAUUGCGAAGGCAGGCUACUAGGACUUGAUU
rnacentral:rRNA from 1 species